GCUGGAAUGGCUCAGGUGGUAGAGCGCGUCAUUGGUAGUGACGAGGUCGGCGGUUCGACUCCGCCUUCCAGCA
rnacentral:tRNA from 1 species